GGAGAGGUGCCAGAGUGGUUGAAUGGGGCGGUCUUGAAAACCGUUGUGCGUUCUGCGUACCGUGGGUUCGAAUCCCACCCUCUCCG
rnacentral:tRNA from 1 species